GGUACGGGCAGACUAGAGUGCAGUAGGGGAGACUGGAAUUCCUGUGUAGCGGUGGAAUGCGCAGAUAUCAGGAGGAAACACCGAUGGCGAAGGCAGGUCUCUGGGCUGUAACUGACGCUGAGGAGCGAAAGCAUGGGGAGCGAACAGGAUUAGAUACCCUGGUAGUCCAUGCCGUAAACGUUGGGCACUAGGUGUGGGGACCAUUCCACGGUUUCCGCGCCGCAGAUAACGCAUUAAGUGCCCCGCCUGGGGAGUACGGCCGCAAGGCUAAAACUCAAAGGAAUUGACGGGGGCCCGCACAAGCGGCGGAGCAUGCGGAUUAAUUCGAUGCAACGCGAAGAACCUUACCAAGGCUUGACAUGUUCUCGAUCGCCGUAGAGAUACGGUUUCCCCUUUGGGGCGGGUUCACAGGUGGUGCAUGGUUGUCGUCAGCUCGUGUCGUGAGAUGUUGGGUUAAGUCCCGCAACGAGCGCAACCCUCGUUCCAUGUUGCCAGCACGUAGUGGUGGGGACUCAUGGGAGACUGCCGGGGUCAACUCGGAGGAAGGUGAGGACGACGUCAAAUCAUCAUGCCCCUUAUGUCUUGGGCUUCACGCAUGCUACAAUGGCCGGUACAAUGGGUUGCGAUACUGUGAGGUGGAGCUAAUCCCAAAAAGCCGGUCUCAGUUCGGAUUGGGGUCUGCAACUCGACCCCAUGAAGUCGGAGUCGCUAGUAAUCGCAGAUCAGCAACGCUGCGGUGAAUACGUUCCCGGGCCUUCACACACC
rnacentral:rRNA from 1 species